ACCCUUUGUGACAUACCUAUAACUGUUGCUUCGGCGGGUAGGGUCUCCGCGACCCUCCCGGCCUCCCGCCUCCGGGCGGGUCGGCGCCCGCCGGAGGAUAACCAAACUCUGAUUUAACGACGUUUCUUCUGAGUGGUACAAGCAAAUAAUCAAAACUUUUAACAACGGAUCUCUUGGUUCUGGCAUCGAUGAAGAACGCAGCGAAAUGCGAUAAGUAAUGUGAAUUGCAGAAUUCAGUGAAUCAUCGAAUCUUUGAACGCACAUUGCGCCCGCCAGCAUUCUGGCGGGCAUGCCUGUUCGAGCGUCAUUUCAACCCUCAAGCUCUGCUUGGUGUUGGGGCCCUACAGCUGAUGUAGGCCCUCAAAGGUAGUGGCGGACCCUCCCGGAGCCUCCUUUGCGUAGUAACUUUACGUCUCGCACUGGGAUCCGGAGGGACUCUUGCCGUAAAACCCCCCAAUUUUCCAAAGGUUGACCUCGGAUCAGGUAGGAAUACCCGCUGAACUUAAGCAUAU
rnacentral:rRNA from 1 species